rnacentral:rRNA from 1 species
GACGAACGCUGGCGGCGUGCUUAACACAUGCAAGUCGAGCGGAAAGGCCUCUUCGGGGGUACUCGAGCGGCGAACGGGUGAGUAACACGUGAGUAAUCUGCCCUUCACUCUGGGAUAGCCACCGGAAACGGUGAUUAAUACCGGAUACGACCCGUCCAGACAUCUGGUGCGUGUGGAAACUUAUUGGGUGGGGGAUGUGCGAGCGGCCUAUCAGCUUGUUGGUGGGGUAAUGGCCUACCAAGGCUUCGCCGGGUAGCCGGCCUGAGAGGGUGACCGGCCACACUGGGACUGAGACACGGCCCAGACUCCUACGGGAGGCAGCAGUGGGGAAUAUUGGACAAUGGGCGGAAGCCUGAUCCAACAACGCCGCGUGAGGGAUGACGGCCUUCGGGUUGUAAACCUCUUUCAGCACCGACGAAGCGAUCCUUUUGGGGAGUGACGGUAGGUGCAGAAGAAGGACUGGCCAACUACGUGUCAGCAGCCGCCGUAAAAC